UACGUAGGGUGCGAGCGUUGUCCGGAAUUAUUGGGGCGUAAAAGAGCUCGUAGGCGGUUGUGUCACGUCGUUUCGUGAAAAACCUGCAGCUUAACUGUGGGCGUGCGGUCGAUACGGGCAUCACUGGAGGUUCGGCAGGGGAGACUGGAAUUCCUGGUGUAGCGGUGAAAUGCGCAGAUAUCAGGAGGAACACCGGUGGCGAAGGCGGGUCUCUGGGCCGAUACUGACGCUGGAGGAGCGAAAGCGUGGGGAGCAAACAGG
rnacentral:rRNA from 1 species